CUCAGUAAAGGAAAGUUUAUAUUACACAUCAAAAAGGUGAAACUUGAACCUCUCGAGGGACAUCUUAAUUUGAUGUGUGCCCUGUCUAAUUUGUAAACAGUGUGAUUCAAAAGUCAAGCCAUCAAUCUCACUUGUCUGUGUAUAGAUUUUCUUGUCUUCUGGUACUAGGUGGACUGUGAAAUUAAUUGGAAAUUGCAAUUAGGAAUCUGUGACUCUCAGUACAUCACUUUGGAUUGUCUGGCAAGUGAUGACCUUCUAUGACCACAUACUCUGCAUGGAUGCAGGAAUUAAGUUCUGUACUUUUAAGAAAAGUAGGAAACCAGUGGAAGAGCAAUAGACAUUGAUCAUCUACAUUUAGUGACAGAGUUUUUGAAAUCUACUGGUCCAACCGGCAAAACUGAUCAUAUUCAAAUCAUAAGCGGAUAUGGAUGGAAGCCGCUAAUGAAAUGAUACAACUUUUAUUACGUGAAUUCGACUUUGUCAAGUGGACAGAUGCCUCAAUGAGAUUUAUAGGCCUAGAGGAAAUCGGCAUGCAAGCCAUUCCAGGUUGGGGCUCUAUUACUAUUUGCACAAUGUGUGCACCUUUGCAGGAAGUGCAGCCUUUGGAGAACAUUUAAGUCUUGCUUACUCAAAUAAAACACAUUUGAAGCCAUAUAGAUGGCAUUCCAACAGACCGAAUUUACUCCUAUCCCAAUCACGAGAUCGGGAAUAUUGUGUUUUACAGUAAAUAUUAAUUUGUUUGAAAGUUUUA